ACCUCAGUAACGGCGAGUGAAGCGGUAACAGCUCAAAUUUGAAAUCUGGCUCUUUCAGGGUCCGAGUUGUAAUUUGUAGAAGAUGCUUCGGGUGUGGCUCCGGUCUAAGUUCCUUGGAACAGGACGUCAUAGAGGGUGAGAAUCCCGUAUGUGACUGGUUGCCUUCGCCCAUGUGAAGCUCUUUCGACGAGUCGAGUUGUUUGGGAAUGCAGCUCAAAAUGGGUGGUAAAUUUCAUCUAAAGCUAAAUAUUGGCCAGAGACCGAUAGCGCACAAGUAGAGUGAUCGAAAGAUGAAAAGCACUUUGGAAAGAGAGUUAAACAGUACGUGAAAUUGUUGAAAGGGAAGCGCUUGCAACCAGACUUGCACGUAGUUAAUCAUCCGGGGUUCUCCCCGGUGCACUUGAUUACGUUCAGGCCAGCAUCGGUUUGGGUGGUUGGAUAAAGGCCUUGGGAAUGUGGCUCCUCUCGGGGAGUGUUAUAGCCCUCGGUGCAAUGCAGCCUAUCCGGACCGAGGACCGCGCUUCGGCUAGGAUGCUGGCGUAAUGGUUGUAAGCGACCCGUCUUGAAACACGGACCAAGGAGUCUAACAUUUAUGCGAGUGUUUGGGUGUUAAACCCAUACGCGUAAUGAAAGUGAACGGAGGUGAGAACCCUUAAGGGUGCAUCAUCGACCGAUCCUGAUGUCUUCGGAUGGAUUUGAGUAAGAGCAUAACUGUUGGGACCCGAAAGAUGGUGAACUAUGCCUGAAUAGGGUGAAGCCAGAGGAAACUCUGGUGGAGGCUCGCAGCGGUUCUGACGUGCAAAUCGAUCGUCAAAUUUGGGUAUAGGG
rnacentral:rRNA from 1 species